AGGGGUAUGAUGUUAAUGGUAGCAUACUGGUCUCCAAAACCAAGUGUGAGGGUUCGAAUCCUUCUACCCCUGCCA
rnacentral:tRNA from 1 species